rnacentral:rRNA from 1 species
CCUACGGGUGGCUGCAGUGGGGAAUCUUCCGCAAUGGGCGAAAGCCUGACGGAGCAAUGCCGCGUGAGUGAAGAAGGCCUUCGGGUUGUAAAACUCUGUCCUUAUCGAAGAGAGGUAGGUAUGUGAAUAAUGUACCUAUAGGACGGUAGAUAAGGAGGAAGCCCCGGCUAACUACGUGCCAGCAGCCGCGGUAAUACGUAGGGGGCGAGCGUUGUCCGGAAUCACUGGGCGUAAAGGGCGCGUAGGCGGUUUAAUAAGUCAGUGGUGAAAACUGAGGGCUCAACUCUCAGCCUGCCACUGAUACUGUUAGACUUGAGUAUGGAAGAGGAGAAUGGAAUUCCUAGUGUAGCGGUGAAAUGCGUAGAUAUUAGGAGGAACACCAGUGGCGAAGGCGAUUCUCUGGGCCAAGACUGACGCUGAGGCGCGAAAGCGUGGGGAGCAAACAGGAUUAGAUACCCGGGUAGUC